UAAAAUCUCUUCUCAAAUUCCAGGAUUCCAACAUUUUUCUCAAGGGACUUGCACCCUUAUAUUAUUUUCAGCUCCACCGUCAGACUGGCAGGUCAUAAAGUUACCAAAUGGACUGGGUGAUCUUUUGGACAGCUGUCAACAUGCGUAGAACUUUACUGUUCAUCACAAUGUUUUUAUCAGUAUAUACUGUAAUGACAGCUCAAACAAGCACAUCCACUGAAAUACCAAAUACAACUGAAACAAGCUCAUCCACUGAAAUACCAACUACAACUGAAACAAGCUCAUCCACUGAAAUACCAACUACAACUGAAACAAGCUCAUCCACUGAAAUACCAACUACAACUG